AUUCUGAAAAUUUGCAUGAAAUUGGAUUUUUUUCCCCUGAGUAGUCAACUGCAGACCAUUGUUUCUGAUGACGUGGGGUUGGGAACCAGUCUUACUCCUACUACUGGUCCAGCAAGUGGCCUUCAGCAAGUUGUGAAACUCCCGUUUGCAGAGCAGGGACAUUUUGUAUUAUUUUGACCACUGAUGUUAUGAUGGCACCUAGAAGACAUGCAUGAUUGAGUCACUGUGCUGCAGGGCAACCGACAGUCAUGAAAAGAGUGCCCUGCAGAGAUAUCAAACCGUCGGUGGGGGAAAGGAAGCAUCCUUUAAAAGGUGGAGAAUGGAGGUAUUACAAAAGCCGUUCCGCCCGUGAAUUAGACAUCGCUUCACCAGGACUUCGUGAUUGAGGUACCCGUAUGGGAAAAGAAACCAAGAAGAGAACUGGGAAGUCCAUUAAAUAUUGCUUUACACUGUUC